AAUGUUUUAUUUAUUGACAUCCCUAAUAAUAGCAAGUAUUUUAAUCUGUCCUGCUGUGGAUGGUGCUACGUGUGUCACGAAGCCGACAUGCGAACAGACGAGCUUCACAUUAUCAACAUGCAUCAGUGGUACCUGCAGCUGUCUCAACACUAGUUACGUACCAGUGCGCUCUGGUUGCGCUCUUAAAAUGGACAAGCCAGUGAUCACUUCUGGACAAA
rnacentral:sRNA from 1 species